rnacentral:lncRNA from 1 species
CUUUCUCUUCUUCUUUUUUAUGAUAAGACUUUAGAGUCUUAUCAUUUGGUAUCAGAGCGACGAUCCUUGGCAUUCUCGCUGCAACGAAGCUAUCAAAAAAAAAAAAAAAAAUGAAAGAAAGAAAGAAAGAAAGAGAGAAGAAGAAGCAGCAACCGCACCACGCAUCCCUGCUUCCCCUGCUUCCGGCCAGCCCACCCGCUGCCCGUCGCUGCUCUCCGGCUAGCAACUGGCUCUGCCCCACUUCCGGCCAGAGUCCACCGUCGCCUCUCACCCGAGCCACCACCGCUGCCAAGAGACGACGCUGCUAGCGUCC